rnacentral:rRNA from 1 species
UUGACCUCCAGCGAACUUGGCAGAGAUGCCUUGGUGCCUUCGGGAACGCUGAGACAGGUGCUGCAUGGCUGUCGUCAGCUCGUGUUGUGAAAUGUUGGGUUAAGUCCCGCAACGAGCGCAACCCUUAUCCUUUGUUGCCAGCGAUUCGGUCGGGAACUCAAAGGAGACUGCCGGUGAUAAACCGGAGGAAGGUGGGGAUGACGUCAAGUCAUCAUGGCCCUUACGAGUAGGGCUACACACGUGCUACAAUGGCGCAUACAAAGAGAAGCGACCUCGCGAGAGCAAGCGGACCUCAUAAAGUGCGUCGUAGUCCGGAUCGGAGUCUGCAACUCGACUCCGUGAAGUCGGAAUCGCUAGUAAUCGUGGAUCAGAAUGCCACGGUGAAUACGUUCCCGGGCCUUGUACACACCGCCCGUCACACCAUGGGAGUGGGUUGCAAAAGAAGUAGGUAGCUUAACCUUCGGGAGGGCGCUUACCACUUUGUGAUUCAUGACUGGGGUGAAGUCGUAACAAGGUAGGCGUAGCGAG